GUAGGGUGCGAGCGUUAAUCGGAAUUACUGGGCGUAAAGCGUGCGCAGGCGGUUAUGUAAGACAGAUGUGAAAUCCCCGGGCUCAACCUGGGAACUGCAUUUGUGACUGCAUGGCUAGAGUACGGUAGAGGGGGAUGGAAUUCCGCGUGUAGCAGUGAAAUGCGCAGAUAUGCGGAGGAACACCGAUGGCGAAGGCAAUCCCCUGGACCUGUACUGACGCCCAUGCACGAAAGCGUGGGGAGCAAACAGGAUUAGAUACCCUGGUAGUCCACGCCCCUAAACGAUGUCAACUGGUUGUUGGGAAUUAGUUUUCUCAGUAACGAAGCUAACGCGUGAAGUUGACCGCCUGGGAGUACGGCCGCAAGGUUG
rnacentral:rRNA from 1 species